rnacentral:rRNA from 1 species
GAUGAACGCUCGCGAUAGGCUUAACACAUGCAAGUCGAGGGGCAGCACAAGGUAGCUUGCUCUCUGGGUGGCGACCGGCGCACGGGUGCGUAACGCGUAUGCAACUUGCCCUAUACAGGAGGAUAACCCGUCGAAAGACGGACUAAUACUGCGUAUGCUCACAACUUGGCAUCAAGUGGUGAGGAAAGAAAUUCGGUAUAGGAUAGGCAUGCGUCCCAUUAGCUUGUUGGUGAGGUAACGGCUCACCAAGGCAACGAUGGGUAGGGGAACUGAGAGGUUUAUCCCCCACACUGGUACUGAGACACGGACCAGACUCCUACGGGAGGCAGCAGUGAGGAAUAUUGGUCAAUGGGCGCGAGCCUGAACCAGCCAAGUCGCGUGAAGGAUGACUGUCUUAUGGAUUGUAAACUUCUUUUAUACGGGAAUAACAAGAGUCACGGGUGACUCCCUGCAUGUACCGUAUGAAUAAGCAUCGGCUAACUCCGUG